CUGAGUACGGCGGAACACGUGAAAUUCCGUCGGAAUCCGGGAGGACCAUCUCCCAAGGCUAAAUACUCCCUAGUGACCGAUAGUGAACCAGUACCGUGAGGGAAAGGUGAAAAGCACCCCGGAAGGGGAGUGAAACAGUUCCUGAAACCGUGUGCCUACAAGUAGUUAGAGCCCGUUAAUGGGUGAUAGCGUGCCUUUUGUAGAAUGAACCGGCGAGUUACGAUUUGUUGCAAGGUUAAGCGGAAAAAGCGGAGCCGUAGCGAAAGCGAGUCUGAAUAGGGCGCAUAAGUAACAGGUCGUAGACCCGAAACCAGGUGAUCUACCCAUGUCCAGGAUGAAGGUAAGGUAAUACUUACUGGAGGUCCGAACCCACGCACGUUGAAAAGUGCGGGGAUGAGGUGUGGGUAGCGGAGAAAUUCCAAUCGAACUUGGAGAUAGCUGGUUCUCUCCGAAAUAGCUUUAGGGCUAGCCUCGAGGUAAAGAGUCAUGGAGGUAGAGCACUGUUUGGACUAGGGGCCCUUCUCGGGUUACCGAAUUCAGAUAAACUCCGAAUGCCAUGUACUUAUACUCGGGAGUCAGACUGCGAGUGAUAAGAUCCGUAGUCGAAAGGGAAACAGCCCAGACCACCAGUUAAGGUCCCCAAAUAUAUGUUAAGUGGAAAAGGAUGUGGGGUUGCUUAGACAACCAGGAUGUUGGCUUAGAAGCAGCCACCAUUGAAAGAGUGCGUAAUAGCUCACUGGUCGAGUGACCCCGCGCCGAAAAUGUACCGGGGCUAAACAUAUUACCGAAACUGUGGAUGAACCUCUUUAGAGGUUCGUGGUAGGAGAGCGUUCUAAGGGCGGUGAAGUCAGACCGGAAGGACUGGUGGAGCGCUUAGAAGUGAGAAUGCCGGUAUGAGUAGCGAAAGAAGGGUGAGAAUCCCUUCCACCGAAUAUCUAAGGUUUCCUGAGGAAGGCUCGUCCGCUCAGGGUUAGUCGGGACCUAAGCCGAGGCCGAUAGGCGUAGGCGAUGGACAACAGGUAGAGAUUCCUGUACCAGUGCUAAUUGUUUAACCGAUGGGGUGACACAGAAGGAUAGGGAAUCGCACGAAUGGAAAUGUGCGUCCAAGCAGUGAGUGUGAGAAGUAGGCAAAUCCGCUUCUCGCGAAGCAUGAGCUGUGAUGGGGAAGGAAAUUAAGUACGGAAGUUCCUGAUUUCACGCUGUCAAGAAAAGCCUCUAGGAAGAGUAGUACUGCCCGUACCGCAAACCGACACAGGUAGAUGAGGAGAGAAUCCUAAGGUGAGCGAGAGAACUCUCGUUAAGGAACUCGGCAAAAUGACCCCGUAACUUCGGGAGAAGGGGUGCUCUAUUAGGGUGCAAGCCCGAGAGAGCCGCAGUGAAUAGGCCCAGGCGACUGUUUAGCAAAAACACAGGUCUCUGCAAAACCGUAAGGUGACGUAUAGGGGCUGACGCCUGCCCGGUGCUGGAAGGUUAAGAGGAGUGCUUAGCUUCGGCGAAGGUACGAAUUGAAGCCCCAGUAAACGGCGGCCGUAACUAUAACGGUCCUAAGGUAGCGAAAUUCCUUGUCGGGUAAGUUCCGACCCGCACGAAAGGCGCAACGAUCU
rnacentral:rRNA from 1 species